AUCCUGGGCCACACGUGCGCUACAAUGACGGUGCCGAGAAGUCGUGAAUCCCGGUACAAAAGGGUGGGAAAACUGUUUCCUCACUAUCAUAACUGGGAUCAAGGAUUGCAAAUAUUCCCCGUGAACGUGAAGUUCCUGGUAAGUGCAAGUCAUGCGCUUGAACUAACUGCGUCUCUGCCCUUUGUACACACCUCACCUUGCUACUAACGAUUGAAUGGUUUAAUGAGGUCUUUGGAUUGGUGUCGUUGUAGUGGCUUUACCACCCAACUGAGAAGAUGACCUAAUUUGACUAUUUAGAGGACGUCAAAGUUGUGAAAAAGGUUCCGAAGGUGAAGCUGCCUAGGGAUCAACA
rnacentral:ncRNA from 1 species